rnacentral:rRNA from 1 species
ACUUUAUCGGAGUUUGAUCUACCAACCAGGACGAACGCUGGCGGCGUGCCUAAUACAUGCAAGUCGAGCGGACAGAUGGGAGCUGCUCCCUGAUGUUAGCGGCGGACGGAUAGUAACACGGUGCUCCUGCCUAUAGACUGGGAUAACUCAGGGAAACCGAGGGCUAGCUGGAUGGUUAUUGAACCGCAUGGUUCCAGACAUAAAAAAAGGUAACUUCGGCUACACCGCACAGAUGGACCACAGCGCAUUAGCUAGUUAAUGGUGGGUAACGCUCACCAAGGCGACAAUGCGUAGCAAACCUGAGAGAGGGUGAUCGGCCACACUGGGACUGAGACACGGCCCGAACUCACAGGAGAACGCGGUAGGAAUCUUCCUGUGGACGAAAGAAGUCUGACGGAGCAACACCGCGUGGUGAUGAAGGUUUUCGGAUCGUAAAGCUCUGUUGUUGCAGGGGAAGAACAAGUGCCGUUCAGGGCGGCUUUAUGACGUGAUGCAACCAGAAAGCCACAGCUAACUACGGUACCAGCCGCGGUAAUACGUAGGUGAAAGCGAAGCGUUGUCGGGGUAUUGGGCGUAAAGGCCGCAGGCGGUUUCUUAAGUCUGAUGUGAAAGCCCCCGGCUCAACCGGGGAGGGUCAUUGGAAACUGGGGAACUUGAGUGCAGAAGAGGAGAGUGGAAUUCCACGUGUAGCGGUGAAAUGCGUAGAGAUGUGGAGGAACACCAGUGGCGAAGGCGACUCUCUGGUCUGUAACUGACGCUGAGGAGCGAAAGCGUGGGGAGCGAACAGGAUUAGAUACCCUGGUAGUCCACGCCGUAAACGAUGAGUGCUAAGUGUUAGGGGGUUUCCGCCCCUUAGUGCUGCAGCUAACGCAUUAAGCACUCCGCCUGGGGAGUACGGUCGCAAGACUGAAACUCAAAGGAAUUGACGGGGGCCCGCACAAGCGGUGGAGCAUGUGGUUUAAUUCGAAGCAACGCGAAGAACCUUACCAGGUCUUGACAUCCUCUGACAAUCCUAGAGAUAGGACGUCCCCUUCGGGGGCAGAGUGACAGGUGGUGCAUGGUUGUCGUCAGCUCGUGUCGUGAGAUGUUGGGUUAAGUCCCGCAACGAGCGCAACCCUUGAUCUUAGUUGCCAGCAUUCAGUUGGGCACUCUAAGGUGACUGCCGGUGACAAACCGGAGGAAGGUGGGGAUGACGUCAAAUCAUCAUGCCCCUUAUGACCUGGGCUACACACGUGCUACAAUGGACAGAACAAAGGGCAGCGAAACCGCGAGGUUAAGCCAAUCCCACAAAUCUGUUCUCAGUUCGGAUCGCAGUCUGCAACUCGACUGCGUGAAGCUGGAAUCGCUAGUAAUCGCGGAUCAGCAUGCCGCGGUGAAUACGUUCCCGGGCCUUGUACACACCGCCCGUCACACCACGAGAGUUUGUAACACCCGAAGUCGGUGAGGUAACCUUUUAGGAGCCAGCCGCCGAAGGUGGGACAGAUGAUUGGGGUGAAGUCGUAACAAGGUAGCCGUAUCGGAAGGUGCGGCUGGAUCACCUCCUUUCU